GCUGGCGGCGUGCUUAUCACAUGCAAGUCGAACGAUGACGGUGGUGCUUGCACCGCCUGAUUAGUGGCGAACGGGUGAGUAACACGUGAGUAACCUGCCCUCCACUUCGGGAUAACCUCGGGAAAUCGUGGCUAAUACCGGAUAUGAGCACUCAUCGCAUGGUGAGUGCUGGAAAGAUUUAUCGGUGGGGGAUGGACUCGCGGCCUAUCAGUUUGUUGGUGAGGUGAUGGCUCACCAAGACGAUGACGGGUAGCCGGCCUGAGAGGGCGACCGGCCACACUGGGACUGAGACACGGCCCAGACUCCUACGGGAGGCAGCAGUGGGGAAUAUUGCACAAUGGGCGAAAGCCUGAUGCAGCGACGCCGCGUGGGGGAUGACGGCCUUCGGGUUGUAAACCCCUUUCAGUAGGGAAGAAGCGAGAGUGACGGUACCUGCAGAAGAAGCGCCGGCUAACUACGUGCCAGCAGCCGCGGUAAUACGUAGGGCGCAAGCGUUGUCCGGAAUUAUUGGGCGUAAAGAGCUUGUAGGUGGCUUGUCGCGUCUGCCGUGAAAACCCGAGGCUCAACCUCGGGCGUGCGGUGGGUACGGGCAGGCUAGAGUGUGGUAGGGGAGACUGGAACUCCUGGUGUAGCGGUGAAAUGCGCAGAUAUCACGAAGAACACCGAUGGCGAAGGCAGGUCUCUGGGCCAUUACUGACACUGAGAAGCGAAAGCAUGGGUAGCGAACAGGAUUAGAUACCCUGGUAGUCCAUGCCGUAAACGUUGGGCACUAGGUGUGGGGGACAUUCCACGUUUUCC
rnacentral:rRNA from 1 species